rnacentral:lncRNA from 1 species
AGGGGCUGGAGGAGGCCCUCUGGGGUCUCCAACCCCAUGGAGAACGGGGCAGGUCACUGGAGGUGGCUGGUGUGAUUGACAGAAGCUGCGCUCGGCUGUGACCACGUGAGGGGCCAGGAUGGGGCCGGGCGCGUCGUCCUGCUGCUCCCGGGGAUGCAGAUUUGGGGAUCUCUGUUCUUUCUCCCAGGACUUUACGGACGUGUGAAGAAGAGGCGGCCUGGGCCUGGGCGGGCGGCGCAUCUCCCAUGAGGGGCGUGGCCGCAGAGGCCAUGCCUUUUCUGCUCUCACGUGGUGCCGGAGUCUUCACAGCUCACAGCUCGGGCUCCAGUCCUUAGGUGGGCUUUUCCGGGUCAGGACUCAGGGAGUGGCCUGGGUCCUGCUCAGGGGUGGCUGUUUUGUCUGGACAAGCUCUCAAACAGAUCUUUUAGGGUUUUUCUUCUUCCCUCUAAUAAUCUUUUCUGGAAUCAAAGGGAGUGUAGAGGACGGGUGGCACGGGGGACUCCACGGGGUUUGGAAUCAGAAAGCCCACCGAGGCUGUGGAUAGGCUGUGUGACUUGGGGAAGUUACUUCACCUUUCUGCACGUGUUUCCUCAGUUUUAAAAUAGGGAUUGCAAUGCCAGGAAAAGCCUGGCAUCGAGGGAGAGCUUAAUCAAUAUUGUGGUUAUUGUCGAGUGCGCGGGCAAGACUCGAGGGAGAACUGUGGGCCCAGGGUCCCACAGAGGAUGACAAAGUGAUGCUGCAGCCAGGGCUGGGGUCCUAGCCUGGGCCUGUUCUGCAAGAAGGGGUGACGAAGCGCCCCACUCUGUAGCACUGACUGCCUGCCAGGUAAGCCUCGCACACCUGACUUCCUCAUCCCGGGACCCUGGCUUUGCAGCUUUGCCCCACUUCCUUGGCAUGUCCCUGAGGAGAUCAAGUGUGGCUGGGCCCUGCGUCCUCCCGCUCACUUGGGAGAGUGGGCAGUUCCGGGAGGCAGGAGACCGGCCUCUCCUCCGUGGGGCAGGGCAAAGCCCUUGGGACUAAUUCCUCUUCUUUGUGUGCUUUCUGUCCAUCACGGACCCCACGGGGUUGCUCAAGGCCCGUCUAGCUCUGGAGGCCCUUUCUAAGGAGGAGCAGGGCCGGUGAGUUCCUGGGGUGUCUGGGCAAUGUCCGGAGCCCACUUGGGGUCAGGUCUCCCGUGGGACUCUUCUGGGACCCGGGAGUGUGCACUGGACCGGUUCUGCUUGGUUCCAGGGCGGACACUCCUGCUGUUUGGUGGGUGUGCUCCUUUCUUGGUGCUUUCCGCUGGGUGUACUGAAGGGUUUAGAUUCAGAGGGCACGAACUGGCCAUGGGCUCAGAGGGAGAGAGGCCGAAGGGAUCGGCUGGUUUUCUGUAAGGAGGCGGAGGGCAGUGGUCUCUAAGAGGGGGCUUGAGAGCUAGCCCAUCCUUUUUCAGUCCUAGUUCUGUCCUUUAUCAGCUGAGUGGCCCUGGGCAAGUUACUUAGGCUGUCCAGCUUCAGUGUCCUUAUCUGCAAGCCAUCUGUCUUCACUGGGGCCCUCUGAAAGCAGAGGCUGAGUGAAGAACUUGGGGGCAGGAAGCAGGAGUGAGGGAGUGGAGAGGGGUGAGGUGGAGGAAGAGGAAAAGGGAGUGAGCAGUGGGCAGCAGGGACUCGCUCCUGCUGGGGACCCUCUGAGGGAGCAUGCAGAGUGUGCCUCUCAAUUGUCCUUCCAGCGGUGGCAGAUUGUGGCGUCUCUCUGCUCAUUGCUGUCCCCUGUGGGUGGAGGGUUGCCUCCGGGGGCCCCCACUUCUGGCCAUCUCCCCUGGUCUUGGCCCUGCUCUGACACCUGCAAGGGCAUCAAAACUCCAGCGGCACUCCAUUGUCAGGUUGAUCACUUUAGUCACUGGCAGUAAGCGCUGAUAAGUGAGCGUCGCCUUCUGUUAUGGUAAUUGUGGCCACGGUUGUGUUACUCAGACCUGCCACUAGCCAGCCCACAGAUGCAUGGUAGCCCAGAGCCCAAAUCCAACCCGCAGACUUGUUUAAUUUGGUCCAGAGAGAUCUAGAUCCUUUUAAAAUUACUUACCACUGUUAAAAAUUUGAUUGCUUUCAAAUAAAAAUUGGGAGUUCCAGUUUUUCUGGAAAAAUCGGCAGCUCUGACACAGGGCCCUCAUUCUCGUGUCAGAAUGCAGCCCCCCUACCCACGGUGUUUCUCUCCUGUCUUUGGCCUGUCGCUGGUGCCUGAAUCCCACCACUGAGUACCAGGUCUGUGGCGUUCCCUCCGCCCCACUGAUGCCCCAAGUUGGGGCGAUCCUUUUAGAGGAGCACGUGCUCUCCAGGCUUUGGCCCCCAUUACCCUGGGACUGUCCCCUAGGGAUGUCCCCGCCGGGCCCUGAAGGGCUGAGCGAGGAGUGGAGGGAGAGACCGCUAGGGUUGGUUCAGGAUGACAUGACAGCCCUCUGGGUAUCAACCUCUGUUGAGAACAGGGCUUUGUCCAACCAGUGGGCCCCAGAGCUUCAGGAGAGCAGCCUUCGACCUCGUCGGCUGUGGUGCUGCCCUGCGUGGCUCCCCGUCCCACGCAGGUGAGUAACGUUUCCCGCUGCUUUUAGAUGAUCUCGCAUCUGGCGGGCAGACCUGUUUCAGGGGUGCGUUCUCUGACCCAGGGUAGUCGGGCAGGCAGAAGGAGCUGCCCCAUGGGGAGAGGGAUGAAGUCACCCUAUGUGGGAGCUGGGCUCAGGCUGGGGCUUGGCAGGUCCAGGAGGCCCGGGGAGGAAGUCAGGAGACCGGCCAGAAGGCUCCACCCCUCCUCUCCUUCCUCUCGGGAGCUGGAGGUCAGGCUGGUGUGCAGAAUCCUGCAGGACUUCCCAGAGCCGUUUCCGAUUUGGGGGAAUAGCCGCCCCGUGGGUUGCCUCCUGCCUGUAUCUUACCAGGGCCUCUGCUGGCCUCUAAGGACUGUGUGUUCUUCCGGGUAGUGGUUGAAAUGACUAGUGUGGAGCUUGGCUGCAGCAGAUCCCGUCCAGAACAGGAGUUAAGAGCCAUCGGAAGAGUGACGGGAGAAGACACUGGGAUCUCUCCCAUCCAUUUAGCCCUCUCAGAGGGUCCUGGGUGGCCUCCUGUGCUGUUGCCUCUACUGUACCUGUUAACUGGGCAGCCCUGUCCAAGCUCAUUAACUUCUCUGAGCCCCAGUUUUCCCACUGUGAAAUGAAGACAACACUGGAAAGACAGAGUGGUUUUGAGGGAUGAAUGUAAAAGCCACUGGGAUAAACUUUGUAAGCUGCUGAGCACGGUGCCCACAUGAGGCCCAGGGGAUCGUGCCCACGGCCUGGGAGCUUCAGGGGAUCACAGCCACAUCUUCAAGGGCAGGAAGACAACCUGCCCUGCGAUAACUUGGCUCUGGGGACAGGGACCUCGAUUGUCAAGAGUGAUUUUCAAAGAUCUUCAGAGAGAACAGCAAAGCUGGCUUUCAUCUCUUGUUGCAGGCCCUGUCCCCUGGGAGGCUGGCACAGGGCUCCGUCUGGAGGCCUCACCCCCGAGCCCCAGGGGUGAUACUGAUAGUGAAAUUUAAAUUCAGUCGUGGCCUUAUCAGCUCCCCCAGAAACCUGUCUUGGACAAGUUGCUCUGGGAGCCGGGCUCAAUGUCCAAAAUGCCCAGGUGUCUUCCACAGUCCAGCCUGUGAAAUCGCCACAGCCUAGCAAGGUGCUUUUCAAAGGGCAUCAGCGUUUCUGUCGAGCUUCUCUACAUCAUGCAUGCUUCCUGGGGAUGAUUCAGAAGAUGGAAAAAAGCGGCAAGAAAAGAAUAAAGUCUCCUACACGCUUAAAGACAUAGUUGCUGUAAACAUUUUGGUGAACUUCCAUUCAUUCUUUUCCUUCUUUUCUUCCUCAUCUCUUCCUUUUUUUUUCUUAUUUUUGUUAUAAAAUAAUUCAAACAGAAAGAGACAAAAUACAGGGGAAAAUAUAGCAAUGAUGCCUGUUCUCCUUACCAUUCAUCUUUC